AGUACUUCACAAUCACCUUCCAGAGAAUUAUAUCUUUCUGUAACACUCUCUGCGUGUGCUUUGAAGGCAUCGAAGCAUACAAGGUUCUUGUCUCAGCAGAAGAAAGGCUGCAGGGCAGAACCGGGGCAGGGGGCUUUACAGCGUUGCCAGGAGGCACCAGCUCGGUUUCCCUGCAGCAGGCACAUCUCUCCUCUUUGAGAAACACUGAGCAAGUUAGCAAACCCAGCAGGUGGAUCAGGCUCUGCACAGACACUUUGCAAAGCUGUAUUCCUGUCUGGGAAAUCACUGACCUCACCAGACAUCCUCAGUGUUCCAGCAAGAGAACUGUUAGGCUUGACUAAGCCAAGUGCCUGUCCUAGGCUGUCUUAAAAGAUCACUUGGUUAUGCUGGAGAAGACAAAAAUUAAACUGGACUGAAACCAUCACCACUAGUGGCUUUUAUUUUAAGGUGAGAAAUUCACACAUAUAGAAUGCCAAAAGAACAUAAUGUUCCACAAUUUUCACAUAAAGUUCACAGCAUUGUAAGUUAAUGUUAAUAUUUGAAGGAGAUUUGCUAAUUUAUGUGCCAUUAGCA
rnacentral:lncRNA from 1 species